UGCCUUGCAACUCCUAUAUCCCUACCUCUUUGUGGUACCGGUAGGAAACUAUGAGCAACCUUAGGGAAGAUCGGGUAACCAACCCCUGUGGGAACUUUGGUCGUAUGCUGACAGGGAAGG
rnacentral:ribozyme from 1 species